rnacentral:rRNA from 1 species
GAUGAACGCUGGCGGCGUGCUUAACACAUGCAAGUCGAACGGAAAGGCCCUGCUUUUGUGGGGUGCUCGAGUGGCGAACGGGUGAGUAACACGUGAGUAACCUGCCCUUGACUUUGGGAUAACUUCAGGAAACUGGGGCUAAUACCGGAUAGGAGCUCCUGCUGCAUGGUGGGGGUUGGAAAGUUUCGGCGGUUGGGGAUGGACUCGCGGCUUAUCAGCUUGUUGGUGGGGUAGUGGCUUACCAAGGCUUUGACGGGUAGCCGGCCUGGGAGGGUGACCGGCCACAUUGGGACUGAGAUACGGCCCAGACUCCUACGGGAGGCAGCAGUGGGGAAUAUUGCACAAUGGGCGGAAGCCUGAUGCAGCAACGCCGCGUGCGGGAUGACGGCCUUCGGGUUGUAAACCGCUUUCGCCUGUGACGAAGCGUGAGUGACGGUAAUGGGUAAAGAAGCACCGGCUAACUACGUG